GCCACCACAACCACCACCACCACCCCUGUUUGUUUUGUUGUGUGGUUGGGGGAAGUCAUUGCCGCUGGAUGGGAGGAGGUGCGAGUGCAAGAUCCAUCAGCCCACUGGACACAAAGGCAGAAUUUGCUCAUUCCUCUUCCCAGAGACUUUCAAGGGUGCCCAUGGAUUUCUGGUGGAGCAGUACAGAUAUCUUCCAUUUUCUACUACCAUACACUGCCACACAAUCCACUCUCCAAAAGAAGAAGCUUUAUGGACCUUUAUUUUGUUGUUGUUCUUUGUUUGUUUUCUUUUUUUUUCUUAUUUAUGUAAAUGAUUAAAUAUUUAUGCACUUUUAGUUCUA